AAAAUAUUCAUCAAACGAAGUUUUGCACCAAAGUUAUGAGAGCAGCACAGAUGUUGUUUUAGCGUAAUGGAGUGAUGGAAGUGCUGCGCCAAUCAUGGAGUGCUUAGCAGUCGCCUGCUCGACCAGCCACAGUGAGUCAUUGGAGGCAGUGCUGCAGCACCAACAAUCACUCGUUGGAAGAAAGGAAUGAGGUGGCCAUCAACACCCUGCUGCCAGUUCAACACUCCUCAGUCAAAACACAAGACGCCUGCUUGGCGGCAAAGUCAAUCCAGUUUUAGACAAGAGUUUUGUACC